CUACGGGGCGCUCCAGUGAGGAAUUUUCCGCAAUGGGCGAAAGCCUGACGGAGCGACGCCGUGUGUGGGAUGAAAUCCUUCGGGAUUUAAACCACUGUCAGAGGGGAAGAUAUUGACGGUACCCUCAGAGGAAGCCCCGGCUAACUACGUGCCAGCAGCCGCGGUAAUACGUAGGGGGCAAGCGUUGUCCGGAAUCAUUGGGCGUAAAGGGCGUGUAGGCUGUUUGGUAAGUCAGAUGUUAAAACUACGGGCUCAACCCGUAGCCGCAUUUGAUACUGCCUAACUAGAGAGUGGUAGAGGAAAGCGGAACUUCCGGUGUAGCGGUGAAAUGCGUAGAUAUCGGAAGGAACACCAGUGGCGAAGGCGGCUUUCUGGGCCAUUUCUGACGCUGAGACGCGAAAGCUAGGGGAGCAAACGGGAUUAGAUACCCUCGUGGUC
rnacentral:rRNA from 1 species